ACGCUGGCGGCAGGCCUAACACAUGCAAGUCGAGCGGUAGAGAGAAGCUUGCUUCUCUUGAGAGCGGCGGACGGGUGAGUAAUGCCUAGGAAUCUGCCUGGUAGUGGGGGAUAACGUUCGGAAACGGACGCUAAUACCGCAUACGUCCUACGGGAGAAAGCAGGGGACCUUCGGGCCCUUGCGCUAUCAGAUGAGCCUAGGUCGGAUUAGCUAGUUGGUGGGGUAAUGGCUCACCAAGGCGACGAUCCGUAACUGGUCUGAGAGGAUGAUCAGUCACACUGGAACUGAGACACGGUCCAGACUCCUACGGGAGGCAGCAGUGGGGAAUAUUGGACAAUGGGCGAAAGCCUGAUCCAGCCAUGCCGCGUGUGUGAAGAAGGUCUUCGGAUUGUAAAGCACUUUAAGUUGGGAGGAAGGGUUGUAGAUUAAUACUCUGCAAUUUUGACGUUACCGACAGAAUAAGCACCGGCUAACUCUGUGCCAGCAGCCGCGGUAAUACAGAGGGUGCAAGCGUUAAUCGGAAUUACUGGGCGUAAAGCGCGCGUAGGUGGUUAGUUAAGUUGGAUGUGAAAUCCCCGGGCUCAACCUGGGAACUGCAUUCAAAACUGACUGACUAGAGUAUGGUAGAGGGUGGUGGAAUUUCCUGUGUAGCGGUGAAAUGCGUAGAUAUAGGAAGGAACACCAGUGGCGAAGGCGACCACCUGGACUGAUACUGACACUGAGGUGCGAAAGCGUGGGGAGCAAAC
rnacentral:rRNA from 1 species